UACAGAGGGUGCGAGCGUUGUCCGGAAUCACUGGGCGUAAAGGGCGCGUAGGUGGUGGCUUAAGCGUGCGGUGAAAGCUCGGGGCUCAACCCCGAGUCGGCCGUGCGAACUGGGCUCACUGGAGCAUAGUAGAGGCAGGUGGAAUUCCGGGUGUAGCGGUGGAAUGCGUAGAGAUCCGGAAGAACACCGGUGGCGAAGGCGGCUCACUGGCCCGGUACUGACGCUGAGGUGCGAAAGCGUGGGGAGCAAACAGG
rnacentral:rRNA from 1 species